AGAAUGAACGCUAGCGGCGUGCUUAACACAUGCAAGUCGUACGAGAACUCUUUAGCUUGCUAAAGAUAGUAAAGUGGCGCACGGGUGAGUAACGCGUGGGUAAUCUACCUCUGAAUUUGGGAUAACUCCGCGAAAGCGGUGCUAAUACCGGAUAAUAUUUCAGAAUCUUCGGGUUUUGAAAUCAAAAGUGGUCUCUACAUGUAAGCUACUAUUUGGAGAUGAGCCCGCGUACCAUUAGCUUGUUGGUAGGGUAAUGGCCUACCAAGGCUACGAUGGUUAGCUGGUCUGAGAGGAUGAUCAGCCACACUGGAACUGACACACGGUCCAGACUCCUACGGGAGGCAGCAGUGGGGAAUUUUGCGCAAUGGGGGAAACCCUGACGCAGCAACGCCGCGUGAGUGAUGAAGGCUUUCGGGUCGUAAAGCUCUGUCAAGUGGGAAGAACAUGGAAAAUGUUAAUAUCAUUUUUUACUGACGGUACCACUAAAGGAAGCACCGGCUAACUCCGUGCCAGCAGCCGCGGUAAUACGGGGGGUGCAAGCGUUAUUCGGAAUUAUUGGGCGUAAAGGGCGCGUAGGCGGUCUUUUAAGUCAGAUGUGAAAGCCCGGGGCUUAACCCCGGAAGUGCAUUUGAAACUGAAGGACUUGAGUAUGGGAGAGGGAAGUGGAAUUCCUGGUGUAGAGGUGAAAUUCGUAGAUAUCAGGAGGAACACCGGUGGCGAAGGCGACUUCCUGGACCAAUACUGACGCUGAGGCGCGAAGGCGUGGGGAGCAAACAGGAUUAGAUACCCUGGUAGUCCACGCAGUAAACGAUGAACACUAGGUGUAGCGGGUAUUGACCCCUGCUGUGCCGCAGUUAACGCAUUAAGUGUUCCGCCUGGGGAGUACGACCGCAAGGUUAAAACUCAAGGAAUUGACGGGGGCCCGCA
rnacentral:rRNA from 1 species